GACGAACGCUGGCGGCGUGCUUAACACAUGCAAGUCGAACGGAAAGGCCCUGCUUUUGUGGGGUGCUCGAGUGGCGAACGGGUGAGUAACACGUGAGUAACCUGCCCUUGACUUUGGGAUAACUUCAGGAAACUGGGGCUAAUACCGGAUAGGAGCUCCUGCUGCAUGGUGGGGGUUGGAAAGUUUCGGCGGUUGGGGAUGGACUCGCCGCUUAUCAGCUUGUUGGUGGGGUAGUGGCUUACCAAGGCUUUGACGGGUAGCCGGCCUGAGAGGGUGACCGGCCACAUUGGGACUGAGAUACGGCCCAGACUCCUACGGGAGGCAGCAGUGGGGAAUAGUGCACAGUGGGCGGGAGCCUGAUGCAGCAACGCCGCGUGCGGGAUGACGGCCUUCGGGUUGUAAACCGCUUUCGCCUGUGACGAAGCGUGAGUGACGGUAAUGGGUGAAGAAGCACCGGCUAACUACGUG
rnacentral:rRNA from 1 species